AAGCUGGCUUUGAACCCAGAUCCUCACGCCUGUCUUGAGAUUACAGGCAGUGCUACCAUGUCUGUCUACAGUCUCUUUGAACAGAGCAUAUCUGCUUCUUUGUGAGUUCACCAUGCCAACGGUGUGUACCAGCCUUUUGUCUGUUUUUUCUUUCCUGGACCCUCCCUUCCUGUCCUUCCUCUUUGGUGGCUCCUGCUUUCUCUCCGUUUGUGUGCUGGCAUAUGUUUAUAUGUGUUACCAAACAAUGCACUUACCAAAAGCUGGGCAUUGUUGUGUUCGCAAACACCAAUGCUUCUGGUUCUCUUAAUUCUUCUGAAAUAAAUACUGUUAUCAUUCCCAUUUAUUCCGAGGCCCAUGAGGGCAAAGAAACAUCCCAGGGUCCUGGCUGUCUUCUGAGUAGACGAAUCCUAGUUUUGGAUGAGCCUUCUCUUCCCCUUUGCUGUUAGGAACAACCUCCAUUCUUCACUGGAGCCCACGUUACUAUGCCUUUAGGAGAGCCCAGUCAAUUUCCUUUACACCUCUCUUCUUACCCAAACCAAUCCUGCCUUUCCUGUGUGCCCCGCUGUUAAGUGAGUGAUGUUAACCAUUCACUAUGCCAGGCCAGAAUCCCAGUUGCCAUUCUGGGCCCUGCAUCGUCUAGAGGCCAGGGCUCAUGGUUGGUGGCUGUCCCAUCUCCUCUUUAAAGGAUGGCCUUCUAAGUCAAGAUGGCCUUCCUGGCUCUUGUCUUACACUAAGUCCUACUCUCCCUAGUAUGUGCCCCACAUUUUGGUACCAUGAUCCCUUCUGAAGUCCUGUCUGUGAGUGUACUCAAGGCCUUGGCAGUGGCUUCUUGAAUUAAGGAAGGAUUGGAGGGCCCUCAUGCUCUGGAACCCACAGCGCCUUCCUGAAGUCUGGACGUCCACGUGUGCUCUGUUGCACUCUGCCGUAGGGCAGAGUGUUAGUCUGGUGGCUUAAUCAGCUCCCUGCCUUGGCUGUCAUCCUACAAGCUCUUUGGGCCUAGCUGAGGUAGGCUUCAUUGCUGAUACAUUUCUUUCAUUAUCAUUUGGUGUUGAGCACCGAACUGUGAGCUUUGCACACUGUGAACACAUGCCCUGACCCCUCAGCUCUCGUCUGAGUUUUAUCCCUUGAUCAAAAAGCUCUGUAUUUUCUCCACUUGGUUCAUUAGCAGCAGCCAAUGACUGCUGUGCUCUGGUUGGCGCCAGUGUGCCAUUACACUUCUUUAAUGGCUGAGGAUGUAGCUCAGGUGGAAGGGUACUUGCCUAGCCCCAGCCCCCACUCAGCAUGUGGGCAGAGGGUUGCUGGUUUCUUUGGCCCCAUUGGUGGGGAACACCCCAGCUAUGCUUCCUCUCCCUCCCUAGGUUUGGGAAGGCCAGAGAAGGUCAUUACACAGCAUAUAUUGGAAAGGUGGUGGAGUGCCGUCUUCUGAAUGGCAUAGGAUUAUCAGAAACGUCCAUGUUGUAGUAAUACCCUCUUCUGUUUGUGCCUCUGUGUGAGGAAAGCCUUAAGUGGCCAGCACAGCCCAGGCCUCUUCUGUGCUUUCUUGUGCUGCAAAAUGUGGUGCUGGUAAUAUACUGAGACGUUGUAAGGUGGCUGAUUCUGCAGUCACUUGUUAGGCUCUGAGUCUGGCAUUGGGACAUGGCAUGCCCAACCCUUCUGUAGUGUGCCCACCUAUGGGGGACAUAUUUAGAGACACAGAUAGGGAAUAUUGAAUUAUUUUGUAAUGAAAGAAAUAUCAAUAUAGCCCAUAGUCACAGCGUAACCUUAAAAGGGGACAUUUAUCUGAGGAACAAUAGAAAGAGUGGAGAGGAUUCCAUCGUAGUUAAACAGAAAACUAAACAAAC
rnacentral:lncRNA from 1 species